rnacentral:tRNA from 1 species
UAAGGGGAAUAGUGGGACUACUAAUCCCGCAACCCACCUGGAGGUGGUCCUCAUGG